GGGGACGACAACGGUUUCGACGGAUUCGCACUUUAAAAAGGAGCAAGCCAAGUGUGACAUUCACUUGUUAAUAAAAUGUCAAAAAACAAAUGCUAGGAAUAAAUUUACUAGCCUGGCUGAAAAGCUAUAUAUCCAGAUGCAUAAGCUGGUGCCUUUUUAGUUUGAAUCCCAAACAAACUUUUAAGGUAUAAACCAAAUUGGGAUUAUUCUUUUACUUUCGGUUUAGGGUAAAAAGAAGAAAUUUAUAAACCUUACUUUAAACCAUCUCGCUGGUUAGUAAGAUUUAGGGGAAAAAUUAAAACCAGCUAAGCUUGUAGCGCCUUUUUUUCCUGCAGUCACGGACGAGGGUUCAAUUCCCUCCGUCUCCACCA
rnacentral:tmRNA from 1 species